rnacentral:rRNA from 1 species
CCUACGGGAGGCAGCAGUGGGGAAUUUUGGACAAUGGGCGCAAGCCUGAUCCAGCAAUGCCGCGUGAGUGAAGAAGGCCUUCGGGUUGUAAAGCUCUUUUGUCAGGGAAGAAACGGUGGGGGCUAAUAUCCUCCACUAAUGACGGUACCUGAAGAAUAAGCACCGGCUAACUACGUGCCAGCAGCCGCGGUAAUACGUAGGGUGCAAGCGUUAAUCGGAAUUACUGGGCGUAAAGCGUGCGCAGGCGGUUUUGUAAGUUUGUCGUGAAAUCCCCGGGCUCAACCUGGGAAUGGCGAUGAAGACUGCAAGGCUAGAAUCUGGCAGAGGGGGGUAGAAUUCCACGUGUAGCAGUGAAAUGCGUAGAGAUGUGGAGGAACACCGAUGGCGAAGGCAGCCCCCUGGGUCAAGAUUGACGCUCAUGCACGAAAGCGUGGGGAGCAAACAGGAUUAGAUACCCUGGUAGUCCACGCCCUAAACGAUGUCUACUAGUUGUCGGGUUUUAAUUAACUUGGUAACGCAGCUAACGCGUGAAGUAGACCGCCUGGGGAGUACGGUCGCAAGNUUAAAACUUCAAAGGAAUUGACGG